UAUUGGUUGUUAUGGCGGCCUAAUCGUUACAAUUAAAACACACCACAUUUGACAUCGGAUUGGCUAAACGUUUCUGACCGAAGGUUGUCCGCCAUGUUCAUUGGUUAAGCUUUCUUCGAAACAACCCGCCUACUUUAUUCAUUGGCUCAAAUAAUGUACUGAAAGGGAGGGGGCUGGCCUCAUUUCAGAGGGGAAAUAUAAACCGUUUGCUCUCAUUGCGCAUGUCAAAAAUAAAAGGAUCAUUCGCCAUUUUGUUCCCGACGCAGAUAUUUUUGACUACUGACGCUGUGCUCUGCUAUGUGGAGUGCCAAUGAACAGAUGACACAGAAUGACAGGAAACUGGACACAUUUCACUGUUGAGUAAAUCAGUGAAGCAAACUGCUCUAUCAAGAGGAGCACAUUAGCAUUUACAGAAGACCUAACCAGUGCAGAUGGGACGGUCACCUGCCCUGCAUAAAGCAUGGAGCGUCGCGUCCAUUAUGUUUUGAAGAUGCAUCCGAUGACUCAGAGGUAGCACAGGAUAUGCAAAUUCAAAUAGGCAAAACUUUCUCCAAGUACAAGUUCCUCUUACAUGGUUUCACCACCUGCUUUGCUCGUUCCAGUCAGAUUCACACAUUUAUAGGAGGUUAUGUCACACUUUUUCUGGAUUGUAAAGACAGUAAUUUUGGAAGCGCUAAAAUGGGCAGUGGUUCAGUAGAGGUUCUGUUAGUGACUGGUAGGAUACAAGUUCAAAUCCCCAGUCUGCCAGAAAAGAACUGUAUAACAAAGCCCUUAUCCUCAGUCACUGGAUUACAUUCUUCCUCACUCGAGUUAUUCUGCCAGGAUAAACUGCACAAAAACCUGGGAAACUGUAAAAAUGUGCACUAUUUGUACAGAUAGGAAUUCAUUUUUAUAAACAUUAACAAUGGAAAGACAAGACGAGCCUUAACAUGUGAAUCUCACUUCUCACUCUCCUUUAAAUGCUUUGUUUUGUGUUUGGGAACUUAAGCAUUUCACUUAACUGUCUCACAGUUCCAACCCACAGCAUGCACACUUAAGAAUAGAGGAAAUAUGUUGUUUGGAUAUGCACUGGGAGAAAGGGCUGCUUGUUCUAAUUUCCUCAUUUUGUUUUACAUAUCUCAUGUCCACAUUUUUAGAACAUGCAGUUGAAGAUUUAAGUGUCAGGGGGACAAGGCAUUUCUGCUACCUCUCACUCCAACACACACCACUAUAAUAGUGCAGGCCUAGUACUUAUUAUUAAUUUAGUAAUUUCCAUCAUUACAUAUAGGUCUAUAUCUCAGUUGAAACACACAAAUGAGGAACUCUGCCGUUAUGGGGGCACAGAACUCAACACCAGUGGGCAUGCUGCAUCAGAGUGUUACUGUGAUCAUUGUAGCCCUAAUAUAGCAGUAUGUGAUUAUCUCUGCAUGACAUGUUCAGCUGUUUUUGAAAUAAGUUUACAGAGUAAUGAACAGCCUGAUUGUGAAAUAUUUACAGCAGUUCUCUUAAGAGAGUAUUGCACAAUGUAUCACAAUGUCUAGUAUUCCAUUCUUUUAGAAAUCAGGGUACCAUCUGCAUUUACACUCACUGACCACUUUAAUAGGAACACCUGUAGACCUGCUCAUUCAUGCUGUUAUUCGAUUAGACACUCAUGUGUCAGUAGCACAACGCAUAAAAUCAUGCAGGUACAGGGCAUGACUUUUGGUUAAUGUUUAAAUCACUUUUUUUUUUUUGUCAUUCUAACGUUUGAUCUGUGACCUUGAACAUGGCAUGGUUGUUAUAUUUCAGAAACGGCUGAUCUCCUGAAGUUUUGACUCUGCAUUGUGUAGAGUUUACUUACAGUAGAAUGGGGCAAACACAUCAUCCCCCCCCCCAACUGUUCUGUUUUUGUGAGCCUGUGCCCAUUGUAGCCUCAGAUUCCUGUUCUUGGCUGACAGGAGUGGAACCCAGUGUAGUCUUCUGCUGUUGUAGUCCCCAUCAAAGUUUAGCAUGUUGUGUGUUCUGCUCACCAGGCCUGUAAAGAGUGGUUACCAUAGACUUUCUGUUGGCUUAAAUCAGUGUAGCUAUUCUGACCUCCUUUGACCUCUGAAGGCAUUUCCACCUACAGAACUGCUGCUCACUGGAUGUUUUCCCCCUGAUUUUUAUGUAUUGCUCUACUGCCACACUAUUAGCUGAUUUGGAUAAUUAAUAAUGAUUAUUAUUUAAUUAAUUAAAUAAUAAUGUGCGGGUAUUUCUAAUAAAGUAGACAGUGAAAUGUAUAUUGACUUGUCAUUCCUGUUUCUGAAUACAGUGAUUUCCUGGCCCAAGGUUACCUCAGAGACUUUUAGCCAAUCAGAGCUAAUGUUUUUGGUGUGAUUGUUUGCUGAAUCUACAUGUGCUACAUGAACAACAGUAACCAGUCAAUGACAAACCUCAGUCCC